UUUUGAAAAGCUGACAGGGGG
ensembl:piRNA 21ur-5525 ncRNA